GACAGAGGAUGCAAGCGUUAUCCGGAAUGAUUGGGCGUAAAGCGUCUGUAGGUGGCUUUUAAGUCCGCCGUCAAAUCCCAGGGCUCAACCCUGGACAGGCGGUGGAAACUACCAAGCUGGAGUACGGUAGGGCAGAGGGAAUUUCCGGUGGAGCGGUGAAAUGCGUAGAGAUCGGAAGAACACCAACGGCGAAGCACUCUGCUGGCCGACACUGACACUGAGAGACGAAAGCUAGGGAGCGAAUGG
rnacentral:rRNA from 1 species